rnacentral:misc_RNA from 1 species
AAGUCGUAACAAGGUUUCCGUAGGUGAACCUGCGGAAGGAUCAUUAACACGUGAAAACGUAUUAAUUUCAUCGCACUACCUCCUGUGAACAUUCCCCAUUCACUUGAUGCUGCUUUGUACAAUAUGUAGUGGGAUAUCAUUGGAGCGCUCGUCGCUCCUUCGAUAUGCAAUUGUGUAAAGCUAAGGCUCUGAGCCUGCGGUAUCAUUUGAGUGGGCCUUUUUUUUUCGCCCACUACAAAACCCCAUAAACAAACCUUUUUCACCUAUUUCUAACCAAUCUGACUGAUCGUAUUGUUGAUGGUCAAGAAAUUGAUCUUUGUCAACAACCAGUUUAUCUAAACUAAGCACAACUCUUAGCAAUGGAUAUCUUGGUUCUC